UCCACACCUGGAGGUCAAGUAACCGUCCCCUC
rnacentral:piRNA from 1 species